rnacentral:rRNA from 1 species
UACGAGUGCCCCAAGCGUUAUCCGGAAUUAUUGGGCGUAAAGGGGGUGUAGGUGGCGAUGUUAGUCUUCUGUCAAAUUCUUCGGCUUAACCGGGGGUCUGCAGGGGAAACGGCAUUGCUCGAGUGUGCAAGGGGUGAAUGGAACUCAUGGAGUAGGGGUGAAAUCCGUUGAUAUCAUGGGGAACACCAAAAGCGAAGGCAAUUCACUGGUGCAUUACUGACACUGAAACACGAAAGCGUGGGUAGCGAACGGG